rnacentral:rRNA from 1 species
UACGGAGGGUGCAAGCGUUGCUCGGAAUUAUUGGGCGUAAAGGGUAGGUAGGUGGUCUCAUUUGUCUGGGGUGAAAGCCUUGAGCUUAACUCAAGAAGUGCCCCAGAAACGGUGAGACUGGAGUCUUGGAGAGGGUCGUGGAAUUCCCGGUGUAGCGGUGAAAUGCGUAGAGAUCGGGAGGAACACCAGAGGCGAAAGCGGCGACCUGGACAAGUACUGACACUCAACUACGAAAGCGUGGGGAGCAAACAGG